rnacentral:rRNA from 1 species
CCUACGUGUGGCAGCAGUCGGGAAUAUUGCGCAAUGGAGGAAACUCUGACGCAGUGACGCCGCGUGCAGGAAGAAGGUUUUCGGAUUGUAAACUGCUUUAGACAGGGGCGUAAACAGACAGUACCUGUAGAAUAAGCUCCGGCUAACUACGUGCCAGCAGCCGAGGUACUACGUAGGGAGCAAGCGUUAUCCGGAUUUAUUGGGUGUAAAGGGUGCGUAGACGGAGAAGCAAGUUAGUUGUGAAAUCCCUCGGCUUAACUAAGGAACUGCAACUAAAACUACUUCCCUUGAGUACUGGUGAGGAAAGUGGAAUUCCUAGUGUAGCGGUGAAAUGCGUAGAUAUUAGGAGGAACACCAGUGGCGAAGGCGACUUUCUAGACAGUAACUGACGUUGAAGCACGAAAGUGUGGGGAGCAAACAGGAUUAGAUACCCUUGUAGUC